UACGUAGGCAGCGAGCGUUGUUCGGAGUUACUGGGCGUAAAGGGUGUGUAGGCGGUUGUUUAAGUUUGGUGUGAAAUCUCCCCGGCUCAACUGGGAGGGUGCGCCGAAUACUGAAUGACUUCGAGUGCGGGAGAGGAUAGUGGAAUUCCUGGUGUAGCGGUGAAAUGCGUAGAUAUCAGGAGGAACACCAAUGGCGAAGGCAGCACUCUGGGACGUGACUGACGCUGAGACGCGAAAGCGUGGGGAGCAAACAGG
rnacentral:rRNA from 1 species